rnacentral:lncRNA from 1 species
GUGUCUGCAAUUUGUUAGAGGGGCAAAAGGCAAACUGCUCUGAAACAUCAAAGAGAGCCUCUUCACACUUGCCUCUGAGGAUUUCCUAUUCUCUUCCUAUUUGUGAGGAGGGAGAAUACAUUCUUAGAAGAGAUCUACAGCUAGAGUGAACCUUGAAGUAUGUGGAAUUACAAAUGCUUCUAUGCCUAGAUUUGUCGUUACACAGUAAAUAUCACUUCUAAAAUCAAACCUAAGAGACAAAUUCUGUGUGCUUGUACAUUUUUCUGAAUUUGGUAGUUUUUAAUGGAAUUAAAAUAAAAUUAGAAAUUGGUUAUUGGAAUUUGGUUAUUUUAGAAGAAAAAAAGAUUCUUAAGUUUUGCUAGUUCUCUGAACUUGAACAAAUAAACAAAAAAAAAAAAAGUAAGAAAAAGAAAAAGCACACAUUCUGGAAAGAACAGUUAGAGGUGUUCGUCAUCAAGUCUGAUUACUGGACCCUAAGACUGUCCUCUACAUAUGCAUCUGCUUGCUCUGACACACACACACACACACACACACACAUGCAUAUAUACACGUAUGCACACACAUAUAUAAGUAUACACACAUGUAAAAAAAAGUACAAAAUAGCAGGCUUUCCUGUGCCCUUUAGAUUAUUCCUUCCACUCCUACUCCCUGCUCCUUUGUCCUUCCUCUCACCCUCCCCAUGCACACAUCUGCCCACAGUGGUCCUCUAUCAUUUCUACAUUAUGUGUUUUAUUACCUUUCCUAGUGUACACACUCAAAGCUUAUUUCCCAUCUCAUAGGCCUCUUUCUAGUUUUUUUGUUCUCUGCCAAUGAAAGACCCACAACGUGAGGACUCUCCCACGUUCUGACUCAGGAGAGGCGACACCCCAAAAUCACCAACGAGAAAACGGUCUUGUUGCAAAUUGCAAGAGGAUUUUUAUUCAAGAGCGCUCUCGGGCCCACGGUCAUACACCACGCAGGGGUAGAGGACUGUGGCGCCCCGAGUAGCUGGGUAAGGGGGUAUUUAAAGGAAGAAACCGAAACUCAAGGAAGUGGGGAGGGCUUUGUUGGAAGAUACCAAAGAUACCAGUUAAGAGUCACAAGGAAGUGUAAAGUUACAAGAGUCACAAGGAAUACCUGGUAAUUGUUAACUCUCAAGACAGCUUCUAAGAGCCCCUAACAAUAGCACAUUUGCAUUGCAGGUUCUGGUAAUGGCCAGGGUGACUUUCUUUGAAUGAGCACUCUUUGAACCCAGGAAGCGGGUGGGUAGAGGAAUGUCGCUAUCUCUUUUAUGAUUAGCAUACCUUUACAAAGGCCACAUUCCCAAGCCUGGGCCUAAAGGCCUAGAAUUCUGUUUUUACGUUGUUAUACUUUCACCAACACCUAAAAAAUACAACUUUAACAUUUAGAAACCAGAAUUAGCAUAUGAAAAGAUACACAAGGUAUUUGUCUAUUUUCAUCUGAAUAUAGUAGUUUCUAAUUCUAUACAUUAUUUUGAAAUUUUCUCAAUUUUUCUUUAUAUUUAUGCCCUUGGGUUCAUUACCCACAUUUUCAUUAUCCAUUCAUUUAUGAUGGACGUGUAGCUGAUUCCAUGUCCUAGCCAUUGUCCAAAGAGAAGCAGUGACUAUGGAUGUGCAAGUAUCUCUAGGCUGUAGAGUCAUUUGGGUGUCUAUCCAGGAGUGGUACAGCGGGGUCUCCUUUUAGUAUUGAGCCUCCACACUGAUCUCCAUAGUGACUGUAAAUUUUACUUUUCCACCAGUAACAAUUAGUGAUUCCUUCUCUUCAACAUCUUUGCCCAUAUUUGUUGUAAUUGCCUUUCUUGAUUCUGACUGGGAUGAGAAGGAACGUCAAAGUAGCUUUAAUUUUCAUUUCCUGGAUGAGCAAAAAUGUUGGAUACUUAAAAAUUAUGCUUUGGCCAUUUGUAUUUCAGGUAGUGACUCCAUUUGUAAAUUCUUUGAGUUAGUUCUUAUGUCACUAAGUUCUAAUUAUUGACUAUUUUUAUGACAUAUAUCCUAGAGUGCAUGCCACUUGUGUUCCUUUAGUCAUUUCAGUAUUUCAUGUUUUAAAUUAAGGUAUUUAAUUCUGUUUGAAUUGAUGUUUUUGUGUGUAAAAACUGAGAGAUGUGAAACUAAUUUCAUUCUUUGGCAAGUAUAUAUCCCAUUUUCCAGGUUGUCUUUUGCCCAAUAUAUAUCUUUUAAUACCCUUUAUAAAAGUUAGGUGUUUGUAGCUGUGCUGGUUUAUCUCUAUUAUGUUCGACUGCCCUGUGUGUCUUAUUUUUGUGUCAGUAUUACAUUGUCUUUGUCACUAUAAUUUGUAGCAUAGUUUGAGAUCAGAUAAUGCAAUACCUCUACCUAUGUUCUUUCUGCUUUGGAUUGCUUUGUCUACCCAUGAUCAUUUGUGUUUCCAUAUGAAUUUUAGGAUAUCCUUUAAUAGAUCAAAUGUCAUUGGAAUAUAAUUGAUACUCCAUUUAGUCUGUAGACUACUUUUGGGGUAAAGCCAUUUUCACAAUAGUAAUUCUGACAAUACAGUAGUGUAGGUUUUUCUAUCAUUUAAUGUCUUCUUCAAUCUUUAUAUUCAAUGUCUUUAAGUUUUUCAUGUAGAGGUAUUUCAGCCCCUUGCUAGGCUUAUACCUGCAUUUUUUUUUAAAAAAAAAUCAACUGUAUGGCAUUUAUUUUUAAAAAGAUUCAUUUUAUUUGUGUGAGUACACUGUAGCUGUCUUCAGACACACCAGAAGAGGGCCUCGGAUCUCAUUACAGAUGGUUGUGUGCCACCAUGUGUUUGCUGGGAAUUGAACUCAAAACCUUUGGAAGAGCAGUCGGUGCUCUU